UACAGAGGUCCCAAGCGUUACUGAGAAUCACUGGGUUUAAAGGGUGCGUAGGUGGUCCGUUAAGUCAGUUGUGAAAUCCCCGGGCUCAACCCGGGAACUGCUUCUGAUACUGGCGGACUUGAGGCCAGUAGGGGUCACUAGAACUGACGGUGGAGCGGUGAAAUGCGUAGAUAUCGUCAGGAAUGCCGGUGGUGAAGACGGGUGACUGGGCUGGUUCUGACACUGAGGCACGAAAGCUGGGGGAGCGAACGGG
rnacentral:rRNA from 1 species